UAGGGAAGGGGAGGGGCGGCAGGGCCGGUCUCCGGGGACACCCCCCACCCGGGUCUGCGCCCUCCUCCCGCCAGGCCUGCGAAAUGCGCGCCUCGCCGUCAGAUGCAGCCCUGGGGUCAGGUAGCCCUGGCUCUGUGCGCGCGUCCCUUCCUGUUCCAGCAGGCGCCACCCCUCCCCCAGCCUCCUCUCGCGGGCUCCCAGCCUCAGUUUCCUCAUCUGUUAAGCAGCGAUUACUCCUAUCUACAUUACAGGGUUGUUACGAUUAAAAUAGAAUAAUCAUGUAAUGUGCCCUUGCUCUAUAAAUGGGGUCCUCUGUCCUCCCUGCCCCCUGCCUCCUCAGUCAGGCCUGGGAUCAGCGAGGCCUUCCCGUGUCCCUGUGCUGUCCCCCUCGGCCUGGAACUGGAGCUGCGGGUGCAUCAGCACCCUUGCCAGGGCCCUUUCCUCUCCUCCCUCCCCCUCAGGGUUACCUUGGAACGUGCCUCCUACAAGAGGAUGGUCCAACUUGUUGUCCGAACCUGCGGGAAUCCCAGGCUGAGGUCCAACAGUAUUCACGGAGGGCGCAGCCUGGCUGGAGUUCUAGAAGUCAGCCCUGGGUACUCCAGAGAGCCUGGCAGAGCCAGAGGUCGGCCCAGAGUCCUUAGCUGCGGGUGAAGGGCGCGUGGGCAGAGAGACGGGCUGCGGGCCCUGGUGGAGGAGGGUUUCGCGGGACCUGAGGACCUGGCCUUCAGCUCUCAGGGAGCAUCUGGAGGUUUCCCCCGUCCCGCCUCCUCUCUGACGGUGGCAAAAAUGCAGAGGAAAGCCCACGUCCCGUCCCCAGCGGCCCCAGCCUGGUGGUUGGGAUUCAACGUGGACAUCCGAGGGACGGAGGCUGCUGUAUGCCCGUGUCCCCCUCGCUGUCAGGAACCCCGGGCUUUGCAAAGAGCUGGCUGCCGGGCAUCCCCUGACUUUUCCCUGGGUAACAUUGCCAAGGGACUGUGGUGCUGGCCAGACUUCCCACGCCCGGCCCUGUGGCUCUACCCCCCUCUGUCUCUUGCCCAUGGAGGCUCGGAAUAAGCUUUCUAGAGGAUGCUCUUUCUUGUGUGAGGGGUCAUCUGAGGUCGCCGAGACGGAGCUCUUCACCAGAGAAAUGCAGGAACAUCUCUGCAGCUAAAUGAGGCAAUGUCUGUGGGGGACUCGGCCUUGCCAGGCAGGCUCCAGACGCAUGCUCCCUCCCUGAGAGACGUUGCCCUUGGCCGUGCAGCCCUUGGCCAGGCCAACCACUGGGCUCUAUCCCUGGGUGCCUUUUCAGGCUGUCCUUUGCUCAAGGUGUCCUUAACAGAGCCUAAAGGGACAUUCCGCUUCUCCCUAUGCCCAAGAGCAGAGAAGGACACAUUUCUCAGGCUCUUCCUGAAAGAUUCAAGGAAAGAAAAAAACGUUCUUGAUCUGAGGUCCUGCAGAACCAACCCCCCAGAACUGGCUUGAGUGGCGUCUCCAAAAUUCAUGUCCGCGUGGACCUUGUGCAUGUGACCUAAUUCGGAAAUCGGGUCUUUGCAGAUGUAAUUAGUUACGAUGAGGUCAUACUGGAUGAGUUUGGGCCCCCAUCCAAUGGCUGGUGUCCUUAUAAGAACAGAGUUGGACACAGACACACAGAGAAGAAGGCCGCGUGAAGACAGAGGCAGGGACUGGAGUGACGCAUCCACCGGCCAAGGAUUGGCAAGGACCUGCCGGAGGCCACCGAAGCUGAGAAGCACAAGGAAGAAUCCCGCCCCAACCCCCCCCCCCCCGGAGACUUCAGAGGGAGUGCAGUCCCAUGGACACCUUGAUUUUGGACUUGCGACCUCCAGAACCGCAAGGAAGUCUGGACGUGUUGUUUUAAACCUCCCAGUGCGUGGUCCUUUGAUAUGGCGACUCCAGGAAAGUUGGACAACCACCGAACGUCAAACAGAGGGCAGCUGAGGAAAACAAGAAGGAAACAGAGCAGGCGCACAAAGCAAAAGCUGGAAGAGACCAAGGAGGAGACGGAAAGAAGCGCUCCCUCCGUGUCGUCCUCUCUGCGGGGACAGGAAACCACCACGGAACCGGUGGCCCUGUGAGCAGGAGUGUGUGGGGCUGGAUGUUGGGUGAACGGGAGGUGUUCGAGACCUUGCUGGUCCCAGGGAGCCCCUGCUAGUAAUAAUAAAGCUUUGACUUGGUCCCGUAUCAACCUUAGGACUCCCAGAGCAGGCUUUGUUGAGAUCCCCCACGGAGAGAUGAGGAACCCAGGCAAGGCCAUUAGGUGCUGGCCCACGGCCGUUUUCCAGGAAGCAGUGAAGGGGCACACACCCAGCUUCCCUGCCCAACAGCCAGUGCUCUGCCCUCUACCAGUCCGGGAGUGGGGGGUGGGGCAGCUCCCAUGCCAGUAUCCAGUGCCUGAGUGGCGUCGGCAGGUGCUGGCCCUGGUCAGGGACCCCAGCUCUGUUCCUGGCGAGCUGUGUGAUUUGGGACAAGUCACGGCACCCCCUAUUUGGCCGUUCCCUCCACGGGAAAACGGGGGACAAUAAUAGGGCCUAAGCCAUAAGAGUUCCUGGAGAAUUAAAUGUUCAUAUAUUUCAAGUGCUGAGACCAGAGCUCGGCGCACUGGAAACUUGAAGGUGUUUGUGAAAUGAAUAAAAGACGCUGAUGGGCGUA